UUCCCGCGGAUAGCGAUCGCGCGUCGCGCGGCGAUUCGUUCCUUUUGUCUCGUCGAAAUUCAUUUGGGCCGUGUGCAUUCAUAGGUAUUCGACCGUGUUUGUCCGAUCCUGUGUUCUAUAUUUGACUUGAAUGCUGAUUCGAAUUAUCAUUUUCUGAUGGAAUGGUCGUAACGUCCCUGGUUGAUUACUUCAGGUACGGGUGCCAAUAUUGAUUCUUUUGUCUCGUCACAAUGGCAUUUCGAUCUCGAUCAUGCAAAACUUCGUAAUUCUCGCGCGUCAGUACCGAGUAUACCGAGUAACAAAGUCAAUGGUUUUUGCAGGACGCUCAUUCUUCUACCCAAAAUUCAAGCGCGGUAACAGUGGACUUCUAUAAUUACACCGAAGCGUAGAUAAACAUGUCCUUCGGCCACCCAGCGGCAAUAGCGGCGUACCAACGACGUAGGAUCGUAAACAGGUUUUCAUCAAUGAAACGGAUAUAACCAGAAGGUCCAUAGAAUCGGACGUGGAGUUACGUAUAUUUGUAAUCUCGAGUCUCAAGCCAACACAAUGCGUGUGUGUACCAAGUACAUACAAAGAUUGUUGUGGCGAGUAUUGAAGAUCGGCACGAAACAACGAUGAAGCCGCUAUUCCGUCGCGUUGUUCUCCUUUUAUAGUGGAGUUAGCAACAGAACGAAUGCAAUUUAACGUUACGUGUUUGUGGCCUCAAGUUUCAAGAUAACGUGAUGUUGCUUGGAUGCAACUGACAAUGAGUGCAGAGGUUGUUGCAGUAAUCAGCAUCGGAGAUACAGUAACCAGCGCGGAUCAAUGACGCAGUCACUAUGCCAUCCCGCUGUCACCAUUGUGAUAUCAUCGUAGUUUUGUGGCUGAUUGUGAGUAACUCCGUUCGUUGCGCAUCGGUCGGUGAGUCAGUAAUACAUUUUCUCAUUAUAUUUGCAUGUUUUUCAAAUGUCCUGCGCAGGAUCAAGGCAUAAUGUUAUCGCGCGAUUGUAUUCGUAUUUUCGCGAGUGAGUGAGUGAGUGAGUUAAUCUGAAGAAGAGGAAGAAGACUGGAAGACAACCUUGGGGUGAGUAAUAUUUGUAACAUAUGUACAGGAUGUAUAUAUAACCUAUCCAUACUGCUCAAUGGAUAUCGUAUGUUACAGAUAUUCCUCGGAGUGAGAAUUGACGAGAGGAAGCCAACGUUUAUCGUCGUCGAAAUAUUGUGAAACAAACGAACCGCAGCCGGUUCGUCGCGUCGCGCGUUUGUCUCGGGAGUGCCGUAUAAAUACUGGACUUAUAUAGACAUUUUUCAUAACUCCCAUUUGAUAAAAAAAAUCCUAAUUCGAGGGUCGGGAAUCGCACCCCCGCUGCUUGGCAAUGAAUAUUCUUACUAGGGCGUUGCGCAUGGUGGGCGUGCGCGCCGCACCGCGACGUUCCAUGCCGAGUGCCCGUGCACGAGGUAAUGCCGAGCCGCAUGUAUGACAUGCCCCGUGUGCAUGUUGCGCGGCUGUCUGGUUGUGUGAGGUUUACACGCUCUGUCUCCGGCGAUCGGUUUGGUCCUAAGCGGUAAGAAUUCGGAUCAGUUGCCUUGGAUUCGCGCGUUUCUCUUGCUCUCGUCCACCCUAAGGCUUUCUUAGAUCCUUGAUACUCUUUUUGGAUUCUUUGGAUCUGGGGUUCGAGCUAGGUGAAUCACGUUUAAUCUGACUUGGUCAGAACUUGGCCUUGUAGGUUAAGCUUGUGACGAGAGGCUGGCUCUCAUUUCCUGAUUCGUUUAAAAUGCUAGACGUCGGCAAUGAGUACCUUCUUCUCUCGUCCUGCCGGAGUGUCUUGUCGACGCCGCUUGGAUAUAAGAUCCGGUGGGACUGAUUAAGAUGAUCCGUUGGCUGGGCGUAUGAACGAGUCAAUUUUAGACGUGAUUUUUGUGAGACAAGAGGCGUAGGAAUUCAAUACCAUUGAUUUCGUUUUCUUCCGCGUGGGGCUUACCCUUGUUCGGGGGUGGGUACGCGUGCGUUCUACUCGCCGACGCGGGGUGCUGAAUCCACGGGAAUCCCUGUGAAUGGGAACUCAUGUCAUGGGUUUUAUAAACCCGAAGUGCCGCAGUGUCGCGCGAAAAACUUUAUAAAUAAUAAGUCCACGCGCGCAAAUUUAGUAUUAUUCGCGAGUGUCCCGCGUGUACAACAAGUGGAAGAGGACAACCUUGAGGACACUGAGAGGAGGAGCAGGCCUGGGAAAGGCAUCGGGCCCCAGCGGAGCAACCUUGGGGUAAAUAUAAUUUCUUAUUUAUAUGAAUUUAAUAAUCUUUCUCCCUUUCUUUUAAUGUUAGCGCUGUAAACUAAAAAAAGCUACUUAAAGAAAAUUUAUAUAAAAUUUUAUACACACCUAGAAAAAAAAAACAUUUCAAUUGAUGAAAUCGUUUCUUUAACAUGAUUCUUUUAAGUUGAAAUGAAAAUACCUUUGCGGAAAAUAAAAAUUUAUUUGAUUUUAAGAAAUGACGUUAUUAGUCUUUUUAAGAGUAAAUAAAUUAUUUGUUCAUAUUAUUUGUUUAAUGCAAACAAAUAACUAUUUAAUCAACAAAUGUUUUCGAGUCAAAGAAAAUUUCUUUAACCAUACAGCAGUGCAAAAAUUUCUUUGAGUCAAACAAAUAUUUUUUAACUUAAAUAAACCGUUCUGGGUGGAUAAGAAUUAACUUUUGAAAUAUUGAUUAUUGCGAGCGCAAUUUUAAUUUUUAAAUCUUAUGUUUGUGUGUUAAAGUAUCGUCGUAGCUUCGUGGCUGAGUAACUUCGCUCGUUGCGCAUCGGUCGGUGAGUCAGUAAUAAAUUUUCUCAUUAUAUUUGCAUGCUUUUCAAAUGUCCUGCGCAGGAUCAAAGCAUAAUGUUAUCGCGCAAUCGUAUUCAUAUUUUCGCGGGUGAGUGAGUUAAUCUGAAGAGGAAGAGAAAGAAGACUAGAAGACAAUCUUGGGGUAAGUAAUAUUUGUAACAUGUACAGAAUGUAUAUACAUAUAAGAUAUCCAUACUAAUCAAUGGAUAUUGUAUGUUACAGAUAUUUCUCGGGGUGAGAAUUGACGAGAGGAUUAAAGGAAAAUUACAUUAUUAGCCCCUCAA